AUUGAACGCUGGCGGCAGGCUUAACACAUGCAAGUCGAGCGGGGGAAGGUAGCUUGCUACCGGACCUAGCGGCGGACGGGUGAGUAAUGCUUAGGAAUCUGCCUAUUAGUGGGGGACAACAUCUCGAAAGGGAUGCUAAUACCGCAUACGUCCUACGGGAGAAAGCGGGGGAUCUUCGGACCUUGCGCUAAUAGAUGAGCCUAAGUCGGAUUAGCUAGUUGGUGGGGUAAAGGCCUACCAAGGCGACGAUCUGUAGCGGGUCUGAGAGGAUGAUCCGCCACACUGGGACUGAGACACGGCCCAGACUCCUACGGGAGGCAGCAGUGGGGAAUAUUGGACAAUGGGGGGAACCCUGAUCCAGCCAUGCCGCGUGUGUGAAGAAGGCCUUAUGGUUGUAAAGCACUUUAAGCGAGGAGGAGGCUACUUUAGUUAAUACCUAGAGAUAGUGGACGUUACUCGCAGAAUAAGCACCGGCUAACUCUGUG
rnacentral:rRNA from 1 species